rnacentral:lncRNA from 1 species
AUGGGAACAGUUUCAUUCUACAUGUACUGCUGCCACUGGGGUGGAGAGAUGACUCAGUGGUUAAGAAUUUGGCAUCACUUCAGAGUUAUAAAAAAAUACAUGGAUUUUCAGGCAAAAAGUAUCAAGAACCUAAAGGAGUGUACUAAAAUAAGGAAGAAAAAUUAGGAAUCAGCUUAAUAUCUUAGAAAUGAGAACAAUUCUCAUAAACAGAAGGUAAGAUAGGAAGGACAUGAUUUUAUAAGA